UUUGAGAGUUUGAUCCUGGCUCAGGAUGAACGCUGGCGGCGUGCCUAACACAUGCAAGUUGAGCGAUUUACUUCGGUAAAGAGCGGCGGACGGGUGAGUAACGCGUGGGGAACCUACCCUGUACACACGGAUAACAUACCGAAAGGUAUGCUAAUACGGGAUAAUAUAUUUGAGAGGCAUCUCUUAAAUAUCAAAGGUGAGCCAGUACAGGAUGGACCCGCGUCU
rnacentral:rRNA from 1 species